AUCUACCAAAUCUGCUGAUUAACUAUGGAAGAUUAUACCAAAAUAGAGAAAAUUGGCGAAGGUACCUAUGGAGUUGUGUAUAAGGGUAGACACAAAACUACAGGUCAAGUGGUAGCCAUGAAGAAAAUCAGACUAGAAAGUGAAGAAGAAGGGGUUCCUAGUACUGCAAUUUGGGAAAUUUCUCUAUUAAUAGAACUUCAUCAUCCAAAUAUAGUCAGUCUUCAAGAUGUGCUUAUGCAAGAUUCCAGGUUACAUCUCAUCUUUGAAUUCCUUUCCAUGGAUCUCAAGAAAUAGUUAUAUUCCAUCCCUCUUGGUCAGUUCAUGGAUUCUUCACUUGUUAAGAGUUAUUUGUACCAAAUCCUACAAGGGAUUGUCUUUUGCCAGUCCAGAAGAGUUCUGCACAGAGACUUAAAAACCUCAAAAUCUAUUGACUGAUGACAAAGGAACAAUUAAACUGGCUGAUUUUGGCUUUGCCAGAGCUUUUGUAAUACCUAUUAGAGUAUACACACAUGCGGUAACCAAUAAACCACUUUUCCAUGGGGAUUCAGAAAUUGAUCAACUUUUCAGAAUUUUCAGAGCUUUGGCCACUCCCAAUAAUGAAGUGUGCUCAGAAGUGGAAUCUUUACAGGACUAUAAGAAUACAUUUCCCAAGUGGAAACCAGGAAGCCUGGCAUCCCAUGUUAAAAACUAGGAUGAAAAUGGCUUGGAUCUGCUCUCGAAAAUGUUAGUCUAUGAAUCUGCCAAACGAAUUUCUGGCAAAAUGGCACUGAAUCAUCCAUAUUUUAAUGAUUUGGACAAUCAGAUUAAGAUGUAGCUUUCUGACAAAGAGUUUCCACAUAUCAAGAACAGAUAGUUAUAUUUUUACUGCUAACUUUGUCUGUUUUUGUUUUGUGUAUUUUUCUUUUCUUUGUGUAAAGUUAAGCUGUACUUCAUCUUCUGAUUUCAAAAGUGUAACUUAAAAAUGUAAAUAUUGUUCUAUAUGAAUUUAAAUAUAAUAAUUCUGUAUAUGUUUAUAGAUCUCACUGUAACAACUAUUUGUUGCCAUAAUAAAACUA